rnacentral:rRNA from 1 species
UACGAAGGGGGCAAGCGUUGUCCGGAUUUACUGGGCGUAAAGGGCGUGCAGGCGGUCUGUUAAGUGCAGGGUGAAAGCUCCCGGCUCAACUGGGAGAGGUCCUUGCAUACUGGCGGACUUGAGGGGGGUAGAGGAAAGUGGAAUUCCCGGUGUAGUGGUGAUAUGCGUAGAUAUCGGGAGGAACACCUGUGGCGAAGGCGGCUUUCUGGGCCCUACCUGACGCUGAGACGCGAAAGCGUGGGGAGCGAACCGG